rnacentral:rRNA from 1 species
GGAGGUCCUGCCUGCCCAGUGACAACUAGUUAAACGGCCGCGGUAUUUUGACCGUGCUAAGGUAGCGCAAUCACUUGUCUUUUAAAUGAGGACCUGUAUGAAUGGCGGAACGAGGGCUUAACUGUCUCCUUUUCCUAGUCAAUGAAAUUGAUCUACCCGUGCAGAAGCGGGUAUACUAAUACAAGACGAGAAGACCCUUUGGAGCUUAAGAUAAAAGGCCAACUAUGUCAAAGGCCCAAAUAAAACUAAGCCAAACAAAACAGCCAACUGGCCAAUAUCUUCGGUUGGGGCGACCGCGGGGGAAAACAAAGCCCCCACGUGGAACGGGGAAUAUACCCUAAACCAAGAGAGACAUCUCUAAGUCACAGAACAUCUGACCAAAAGAUCCGGCCAACCAAGCCGAUCAACGGACCAAGUUACCCUAGGGAUAACAGCGCAAUCCCCUCCAAGAGUUCAUAUCGACAAGGGGGUUUACGACCUCGAUGUUGGAUCAGGACAUCCUAAUGGUGCAGCCGCUAUUAAGGA